ensembl:lncRNA
UAAGCAGUGGGGGGUUUUUUGGGGGGGAAGGGGCACAGAUAUAGCCAGAGUAUUAAAGGGGACCUAUUCUGGUAUUUUAUAGUUACAUUUAGUAAUUAUUAAUGGAAUUAUUUCAUAAUUCCUACUUAACUCUGUCCCUCACUUCCUGCUGUGUGUGUGAAACUGCUGGUUUUAGCUCUUGGGACUUUCCCUGAACAUCCAUUUAAUUCUGAUUGGCUACCCCUGUCUUCUACAGACUAACAUUGUGUUUGUAAGCCCCACCUCCUCCUCAAGAAAACUUGGGAGUGUUCAGAGCAGUCUCAAGUCUGAGCUGUGGACUCACACUUACGUAAACAUUGGUCGUGUAAUAGGUCCCCUUUAAGGUGAUGUAAUAAUGAAGGGAGCGGUGCAGUUGGGGUGAAAUGGGACUCUGUUGUUUGAGUGGAUGUGCCAUACUUAGCCUUAGAAAUGAGCUCCACAGGUCGCCACCCCACCUGGCUUCUCCUGCCUCCCCUCCUGAAGCGUUGCCAUAGAAACGCACCCUUUCAGUUUCCGGAUGCCGAUUCCUGCCACAGGAGAGAGAGGGAGCGAGGGAGCGAGAGCCCUCCUCUUCACUGUCGUCCUCGUCUCUCUCGCUCUGUAACGCACCAAAUUCAGAGGGAAAUAAACAUCUGUGCUGUCAGUUGUUGUCGCCGUGUCUGUAAAUUAAUACAUUUUAUUUAUUCCUCUUUUAUAUUUGGAUUCAUGUUUACCUUUUUUUCUUGCUCAUAGCUUUAGGUCACUGUUCUUCUUCCUUGUUCUAUGAUGUUUUUGUUUUUUUUGAUUGAUUUUAAAUUCACACACAGUUGGUUUUUUACUCUUCGUUACAUCAGCGUACACAUGGUCAGCUCCCACUGUUCCUCACCCCGAAUACUCACGCACUUUGGGUUGUUUUGUUUUUUUUCAUAUUCCGAGUACCUGAAUAUAUUUACUGUUUCUCCAUGGCAACUAUAACUUCUUGGAAGUUUAUGUUCACAUGUAACAUAACACAAAAUAAAGACAAAUGGACAAGUGA